AAUUUUUUAGUAUAUUAGUUACAUUUGACUUACAAUCAAAUAGACCAAACAAAUUGGAAAAAUUA
rnacentral:tRNA from 1 species